rnacentral:tRNA from 1 species
GGCCAGCUGGCCUAAUGGUAAGGCGCUAGAUUUCGGUGAUACCUCUGCUCUGCAGGUGGUUACUCCCUCUAGAGAUUGCAGGUUCGAAUCCUGCGUUGGUCG